AUGCCCGUAGCUCAGUGGAGAGAGCGCCGGUUUGCGGAGCCGGGGGUCAAGGGUUCGAUUCCCUUCGGACAUGCCA
rnacentral:tRNA from 1 species